AACGAACGCUGGCGGCGUGCCUAACACAUGCAAGUCGGGGGGAGAAAGGGAGCUUCGGCUCCCGAGUAAACCGGCGCACGGGUGAGUACAACGUAGGUAACGUACCUUCGAGUCCGGGAUAACCAGUCGAAAGACUGGCUAAUACCGGAUACGACCGAGAGGGCCUCGGCUCUCGCGGUGAAAGAUGGCCUCUGCUUGCAAGCUAUCACUCGUUGAGCGGCCUGCGCACCAUUAGCAGUUGGUGGGGUAACGGCCCACCAAGGCUGAGAUGGUUAGCUGGUCUGAGAGGAUGGCCAGCCACACUGGGACUGAGACACGGCCCAGACUCCUACGGGAGGCAGCAGUGGGGAAUAUUGCGCAAUGGGCGAAAGCCUGACGCAGCGACGCCGCGU
rnacentral:rRNA from 1 species